UCAGCCCGCCGCGACGCCCCCCACUUAUGCCCCCACAAAUGCCCCACCCCAUCGGAUGAAACCCUAGUAAAACCCAUUUUUUCAGUCCACACUUAUCUUAUCCGUUUCCCUUGACUCCUCCGAUUCAUCCCAAACCCUUCCCCUCCUAUCAGCCAUGGCCAACUUCUGUCAGGACUCCGGUAGAGGCCGCCCCAUGGACUGGACGGUCUAGUGAAGGAGGAAUCUGACGAGGAGGCGCUCGCGCUCCGCAUCGCCAUCCAGCGGUCGCGCGUCGACAUCGGCGGGGCUCCAUCGCGCCCACAACAAGCUCCUCCUCAUCCCUCCGGCAGAAUGCUAGCCGCGCCCACCCUUCUAGCUCCGCGGAAUGCCAACCACACCUGCCCGUCCCGUGCUCGCCCUUCUAUCUUCGCGCUGCUCUAGAUCCGAAACAGGUUCUCCCCUUCCCCUCUGGCGCUAGCACCGCCCAGCCAACGGUGGGUGCUCGUGCCCGCAACUCUCAGGUGUUCAUUUUAGGUUCAAUUUGGACUAUCUCGGCCCUUUUGGAUGAACUAAUUGCAUGUCUGAUGUCCGAAUUGCUCAAGUUUUAUGCUAUUUAUAUGGUCUACGUAGACUGCAUGGUUUUGUAUGAAAUAGGGUAUCUGAAUUUGAUGUUUGUGAUUGUGGAUAGGGAAAAUUGGCUACUAUUCGGGUACUGCCAGCGGACACGCCUGCAGGUGUAUAUAGCACCAAAUUAGGUAAUCCUGGUUGUAGAUACUCUCAUGAAACUCAUGACGGAGGUUGCUCUCGUUUGAUUGGCACCACCUCUUCUCAAAAUCUGGGAAUUAUUUUUGUGUUUUUGUUUGUUUGAUCAUGGAUCUUUGGAACACCUCUACGCUAAGCUAGCGUGUUCCUUGUUAGAGUUUUCUUCUAGAGAAUGUUGUAUUAAUCAAUCAAUCAAAUUACACAGAGUUCCUGAGAUACAAUCUGGGACAUAUAAAAAAAACUAAGACUUAUAGAGUACAUACACGAUUUAGCUAAUAAAUGAGCCGCUACAUUACAAUGCCGACAAACAUGCUUGAACAUCAUAGAAGCAAAGCCACUAGAGAUGAGGUUAAUGUCAGCAACCACCGCACCAAUUGGAGAACGAUCUAAAGCUGAAGAGUUUAGCCUCUGUACCAAGGAAAGACAAUUGGAGGCAAAGAUAGUAUCUGAAAUUUCUUCAUUCCGUGCCAACUGAACAACGCACCGAAGGAUACAUCCCAAAUAUCUCUAGCAUAUGGGCAAAAAAGUAGAGCUUGCACAACAGAUUCGAACCAGGCACAAAAACAAGAAAGCUCGGAUGUAGGUACAUGACGGUGCAAAAAGUGAGAACCACCAGGCCUUGGAGGACAAGCUCGCUGUGUGAAUCCACGAUGUCCUCUAGAUUGCCAAAUUGAACAAUAUGGUCUAGAGUGUGGUUCUCGACUUGGCGAUGUGGUUGGUCGAGUCGGCGACAAAAGUCAUGGCGCCAAAGACGAAGAGCUGACCUAACACGUAGAUCGUGUCAUCAUCUGAUCUGUGAGUUCACCACGUGGGGCUUGUAUGGGUCACUGAUGUCCUACAAGUGCACAACGUUUAGUUGUAGCUUUUUCAAAGUAAGAGUAUCAAUCCCACACGGAGCACAUGAAUCAACCUUUUGUCUCUUGAAUGGUUCGAGUAGAAUGCCUGCAAAUUUUUAGCGAUCCAAA